UGGUAUAGGUUAACAGCAUUCUUACUAGACGGACAAAUCUGUAAGCUUUCCAUAUUUACCUAACUCAGGAAUACAUACAGUACUAAACAAAUUAGUAUCCUAGAGGUAUGGUCGUCAGUUGAGAAACUGAAAUGCCUGUGUAUUGCCUUGUUGUGUUGAUAUUACAGUACACCCGUGCAACUUGAAAGAUCUUCUUCAGGAGGAAAACAAUCUUCUUGGAGUCAGCACUAAAAGCUGGGAGAGCAAGCACACAGCAGAGCAAAACACAACAGUCCAUGAGCUUUGUGGUGUAUAAUCGGUGUCCGACUGACUGAACUUCAGGAUUUGUAAGACAAAGAUGAGGUUUCUAAGAACAGAUCCAUGAAGAAAGGGGAGAAGAUUACCUCACACUCCCACCAGAAGGCUGUUACAAUAGCUGGAGCAGCACAAGCUGCACUGAUUAAGUGGCCUUCCCCAGGAUGGAGCAAGAGAGUAGGCUUGCACGUGGUGUGGUCAUUCAUCAGCUGAUACCCAGACGCACAGCUGCAAGAGCGGCACUGGUUGGCAGGGUCAUCCCUGCAGAAGUGUUCACAUCCUCC